AACCAUGUAGUGUGGAAUGUGGGUAUUACGUGAUGAGAUAUAUGAAGGAAAUCAUUGCUAAUCCAAACCAACUAACAUCAAAGUUUUGCGGGAAGAAAUCAUAUAGUGAAAUGGAAAUUAAUGAAGUUCGAUCAGAUUGGGUUAUGUUAGUGACUCAGUUAAUCAUUACUCAUGUUUGAAGGUUGUACAAAAAGGCAUAGGUCAUUCUAUUAACAACGUCACUACUGCUCUUGAUGAAGGACACCCACAAACAAUUCAAAAUAUAUCAUCAAAAGAAUUUUGAGAUUGAGCAUCUAGAAAGUGAGUUACAACCAUCCUUUUGCACUUGGAAGAAAAAUGAUGUAAAACUAGAUGUAGUGAAGGUUAUGAACAAUUCAAAGUUGAAGAAGAAGUUGUAAAAUUGUUGGUUUUAGUUGUUGAUUAUGUAUGAUGUUUAUGGAUAAAUUGUAAUAGUGAAAAAGGAAGACCAUAUUUGAUACUUUUUGUCAA